rnacentral:rRNA from 1 species
CGGCGUGCUUACACAUGCAAGUCGAACGAGAAAGCCGAAAGCUUGCUUUUGGCGAGUAGAGUGGCGCACGGGUGAGUAACGCGUGGGUAAUCUGCCUUCGAACCGGGGAGUAACACUUCGAAAGGGGUGCUAAUACCGGAUGACAUCCAGGUGUCUUCGGGCGCUUGGAUCAAAGAUGGCCUCUCCAUGGAAGCUGUUGUCCGAAGAUGAGCCCGCGUCCCAUUAGCUUGUUGGUGGGGUAAAGGCCCACCAAGGCGACGAUGGGUAGCUGGUCUGAGAGGAUGAUCAGCCACACUGGCACUGACACACGGGCCAGACUCCUACGGGAGGCAGCAGUGAGGAAUUUUGCGCAAUGGGGGUAACCCUGACGCAGCAACGCCGCGUGAGUGAAGAAGGCCUUCGGGUCGUAAAGCUCUGUCGAGUGGGAAGAACCCGCAUCAGGUGACAAGGCUGAUGCGCUGACGGUACCACUGGAGGAAGCACCGGCUAACUCCGUGCCAGCAGCCGCGGUAAUACGGAGGGUGCAAGCGUUAUUCGGAAUUACUGGGCGUAAAGGGCGCGCAGGCGGCCUGGUAAGUCAGUAGUGAAAGCCCGGGGCUCGACCCCGGAAGUGCUGCUGAAACUGUUGGGCUUGAGUAUGGUAGAGGGAAGCGGAAUUCCUGGUGUAGCGGUGAAAUGCGUAGAUAUCAGGAGGAACACCGGUGGCGAAGGCGGCUUCCUGGACCAAUACCGACGCUGAGGCGCGAAGGCGUGGGUAGCAAACAGGAUUAGAUACCCUGGUAGUCCACGCAGUAAACGGUGAUCACUAGGUGUUGCGGGUAUUGAUACUUGCAGUGCCGGAGCUAACGCAUUACGUGAUCCGCCUGGGGAGUACGUCCGCAACGGUUAUACGCAAAGGAAUUGACGGGGGCCCGCACAAGCGGGUGGAGCAUGUGGUUUACUUCGACGCAACGCGAAGAACCUUACCUGGCUUUGACAUCUGGCGGAUCACAUGGAUACAUGGGCGUGCCAUUCGGGAGCACCCAAGACAGGUGCUGCAUGNCUGUCGUCAGCUCGUGUCGUGAGAUGUUGGGUUA